GCCUCACUUGUAAACAUUAAGUCGACCAAAAUGUGUUAAUUAAAAUACAAACUUGGAGGAUUUAAUACUUCACUACGUCACUUUGACGGCUCCAAUACGCUGUUACUGUAGUGUUAAGACAACUACCAUAUUGCAGCCUCGCUGAUCAUGGUUAAUGAAGUUCCUCGUGUCAUUGGUCGAGGACGGUGACGUGAAGAUGUAAGAUAUGGGCCACAAGAUGAAGGUUUGUUUUGGUUAACGGGUCUCAUGCUGCACCACAUUGGAAACUCUCUGCUGUAACAUAAGGUACAGUACAGUGUAUAUCUUUGUGGUUUUAGUUUUUAUGAAGGAUCUGGGAUCACUGUUUAAAAAUUCAAGUAAUUAUGUUAAUGACCUUUGAAAUAAUUAGAUAUUUUAUGUAGAUUACGCUGUGCCCGUAAGUUUUAAAAGGCCUUUAUGGAUGGUCUUAAAUAUGUUGACCAUCUUUACUGUAUGAAGUUAGUUU